UCAAACUUGGUCAUUUAGAGGAAGUAAAAGUCGUAACAAGGUUUCCGUAGGUGAACCUGCGGAAGGAUCAUUGCCGAUCGGACGUGUCCCCUCUUCGACUCCUUGUUGUUGAAGGGCACGUCUUUUUCGACCAACCCAUGUGAACUCGUAUCGUGUUUAACACUCUUUUUCUUUCGAAAGAAAGAAGAAGAGCUGUCCAAACAUUUUUACAAACCACAUCCUAAAAAAACUCUUGACUGAGACUUAUAGGUCACGCCUAAAAAACGUUGAUCUCAAAAACCUAACCAUUACAACUUUUAACAACGGAUAUCUUGGCUCGCGCAUCGAUGAAGAACGCAGC
rnacentral:misc_RNA from 1 species